GGGUUGUGAGGUUAAGCGACUAAGCGUACACGGUGGAUGCCCUGGCAGUCAGAGGCGAUGAAGGACGUGCUAAUCUGCGAAAAGCGUCGGUAAGGUGAUAUGAACCGUUACAGCCGGCGAUGUCCGAAUGGGGAAACCCAGUGCAAUUCGUUGCACUAUCGUUAACUGAAUACAUAGGUUAACGAGGCGAACCGGGGGAACUGAAACAUCUAAGUACCCCGAGGAAAAGAAAUCAACCGAGAUUCCCCCAGUAGCGGCGAGCGAACGGGGAGCAGCCCAGAGUCUGAAUCAGCUUGUGUGUUAGUGGAACGGUCUGGAAAGUCCGACGGUACAGGGUGAUAGUCCCGUACACCAAAAUGCACAGGUUGUGAACUCGAAGAGUAGGGCGGGACACGUGGUAUCCUGUCUGAAUAUGGGGGGACCAUCCUCCAAGGCUAAAUACUCCUGACUGACCGAUAGUGAACCAGUACCGUGAGGGAAAGGCGAAAAGAACCCCGGCGAGGGGAGUGAAAAAGAACCUGAAACCGUGUACGUACAAGCAGUGGGAGCACCUUCGGGUGUGACUGCGUACCUUUUGUAUAAUGGGUCAGCGACUUAUAUUCUGUAGCAAGGUUAACCGUAUAGGGGAGCCGCAGGGAAACCGAGUCUUAACUGGGCGUUAAGUUGCAGGGUAUAGACCCGAAACCCGGUGAUCUAGCCAUGGGCAGGUUGAAGGUUGGGUAACACUAACUGGAGGACCGAACCGACUAAUGUUGAAAAAUUAGCGGAUGACUUGUGGCUGGGGGUGAAAGGCCAAUCAAACCGGGAGAUAGCUGGUUCUCCCCGAAAGCUAUUUAGGUAGCGCCUCGUGAACUCAUCUUCGGGGGUAGAGCACUGUUUCGGCUAGGGGGUCAUCCCGACUUACCAACCCGAUGCAAACUACGAAUACCGAAGAAUGUUAUCACGGGAGACACACGGCGGGUGCUAACGUCCGUCGUGAAGAGGGAAACAACCCAGACCGCCAGCUAAGGUCCCAAAGUCAUGGUUAAGUGGGAAACGAUGUGGGAAGGCACAGACAGCCAGGAUGUUGGCUUAGAAGCAGCCAUCAUUUAAAGAAAGCGUAAUAGCUCACUGGUCGAGUCGGCCUGCGCGGAAGAUGUAACGGGGCUAAACCAUGCACCGAAGCUGCGGCAGCGACACUAUGUGUUGUUGGGUAGGGGAGCGUUCUGUAAGCCUGCGAAGGUGACCUGUGAGGGUUGCUGGAGGUAUCAGAAGUGCGAAUGCUGACAUAAGUAACGAUAAAGCGGGUGAAAAGCCCGCUCGCCGGAAGACCAAGGGUUCCUGUCCAACGUUAAUCGGGGCAGGGUGAGUCGACCCCUAAGGCGAGGCCGAAAGGCGUAGUCGAUGGGAAACAGGUUAAUAUUCCUGUACUUGGUGUUACUGCGAAGGGGGGACGGAGAAGGCUAUGUUAGCCGGGCGACGGUUGUCCCGGUUUAAGCAUGUAGGCUGAUUGUCCAGGCAAAUCCGGAUAAUCAAGGCUGAGGUGUGAUGACGAGGCACUACGGUGCUGAAGUAACAAAUGCCCUGCUUCCAGGAAAAGCCUCUAAGCAUCAGGUAACAUCAAAUCGUACCCCAAACCGACACAGGUGGUCAGGUAGAGAAUACCAAGGCGCUUGAGAGAACUCGGGUGAAGGAACUAGGCAAAAUGGUGCCGUAACUUCGGGAGAAGGCACGCUGGUGUGUAGGUGAAGUCCCUGCGGAUGGAGCUGAGACCAGUCGAAGAUACCAGCUGGCUGCAACUGUUUAUUAAAAACACAGCACUGUGCAAACACGAAAGUGGACGUAUACGGUGUGACGCCUGCCCGGUGCCGGAAGGUUAAUUGAUGGGGUUAUCCGUAAGGAGAAGCUCUUGAUCGAAGCCCCGGUAAACGGCGGCCGUAACUAUAACGGUCCUAAGGUAGCGAAAUUCCUUGUCGGGUAAGUUCCGACCUGCACGAAUGGCGUAAUGAUGGCCAGGCUGUCUCCACCCGAGACUCAGUGAAAUUGAACUCGCUGUGAAGAUGCAGUGUACCCGCGGCAAGACGGAAAGACCCCGUGAACCUUUACUAUAGCUUGACACUGAACAUUGAGCCUUGAUGUGUAGGAUAGGUGGGAGGCUUUGAAGCGUGGACGCCAGUCUGCGUGGAGCCAACCUUGAAAUACCACCCUUUAAUGUUUGAUGUUCUAACGUUGGCCCCUGACCGGGGUUGCGGACAGUGUCUGGUGGGUAGUUUGACUGGGGCGGUCUCCUCCCAAAGCGUAACGGAGGAGCACGAAGGUUAGCUAAUCCUGGUCGGACAUCAGGAGGUUAGUGCAAUGGCAUAAGCUAGCUUGACUGCGAGCGUGACGGCGCGAGCAGGUGCGAAAGCAGGUCAUAGUGAUCCGGUGGUUCUGAAUGGAAGGGCCAUCGCUCAACGGAUAAAAGGUACUCCGGGGAUAACAGGCUGAUACCGCCCAAGAGUUCAUAUCGACGGCGGUGUUUGGCACCUCGAUGUCGGCUCAUCACAUCCUGGGGCUGAAGUAGGUCCCAAGGGUAUGGCUGUUCGCCAUUUAAAGUGGUACGCGAGCUGGGUUUAGAACGUCGUGAGACAGUUCGGUCCCUAUCUGCCGUGGGCGCUGGAGAAUUGAGGGGGGCUGCUCCUAGUACGAGAGGACCGGAGUGGACGCAUCACUGGUGUUCGGGUUGUCAUGCCAAUGGCACUGCCCGGUAGCUAAAUGCGGAAGAGAUAAGUGCUGAAAGCAUCUAAGCACGAAACUUGCCCCGAGAUGAGUUCUCCCUGAGACUUUAAGUCUCCUGAAGGAACGUUGAAGACGACGACGUUGAUAGGCCGGGUGUGUAAGCGCAGCGAUGCGUUGAGCUAACCGGUACUAAUGAACCGUGAGGCUUAACCUUACAACGCCGAAG
rnacentral:rRNA from 1 species